rnacentral:rRNA from 1 species
CUACGGGAGGCAGCAGUGGGGAAUAUUGGACAAUGGGCGAAAGCCUGAUCCAGCAAUGCCGCGUGGGUGAAGAAGGUCUUCGGAUUGUAAAGCCCUUUCGGCGGGGACGAUGAUGACGGUACCCGCAGAAGGAGCCCCGGCUAACUUCGUGCCAGCAGCCGCGGUAAUACGAAGGGGGCUAGCGUUGCUCGGAAUUACUGGGCGUAAAGGGCGCGUAGGCGGCCUUGUCAGUCGGGCGUGAAAUCCCCGGGCUCAACCUGGGAAUUGCGUUCGAUACGGCUGGGCUUGAGGCCGAGAGAGGGUGGUGGAAUUCCCAGUGUAGAGGUGAAAUUCGUAGAUAUUGGGAAGAACG